GGCAGAGCCAUUUUAGAGACCCACGCCUUUUCCCAUCCAUAGGCUGCUGAAGCCAGAAACAGCCCAGCACUUAAGAGGGGAGCAGACAAUUACAUCACCGGUCUGGGCAGUAUCUUCUCAGCCUAAACCAUUAUUUCCUCCCUUCUUUUAACAAAGACUCCUAGUUUCCCCACCCAAUAUCCAGGCUCCAUUUUCUUCCUAACUGAAUGUUGACUUCUUCCCCCUGGGGAACAAGAUAUCAAGGAAAAUGAUGCACCUUGUUUGCCUCCCUUGCAAGUGGGCCUGGCUCAUCCAUCAGAGGUGAGCAGACGUCAUCAGGUGGAACUUCCAGGCAAGUCCUUCAAUGAAGCUGACUCAGCUGGGGGAUGCUUUUUCUCUUUCUUCUUCUUUCUGCCUAAUAUGUGGACAUCUGUUCGGAUCUUGAGGCAAAUUCGAUGACAGAAUCACAUCCUAGAGAGGUAAUAAAGCAGACAUUUAGGAGGACACUGGUACCUGAUGACUGCUAUACCUGCCUACGACUGGAUUUCAGUGAUCACCUGACCCCACGUGUUUCCUGCAUCCUCACUUCAUCUGCUCACAUUGGGGAGGCUGCACUUAAGAUCCUGUUAUUUGGAGUUUGAUCAUGGACAGGACUUGUGAUGUCACGUGUUAACGUUUGGGACAAUUGACCAUUUACAUCACUGACUGGGAGUAGGUGAUUGGGGUUCUCCUUCAGGCUAUGUGGUGGCCUCAAAUGAGGAAGAUCAGUGCCUCCACAUCGCAACCUAAGCCACGGCCACAGCAGCGGCGUUACCUGGAUUAUCCGAUGGAACAAUGAAACUAGAGGCAAGAGAUACUUUUGCCUCACCUUGUUAGGUUUUUUGUAACUAUUGACUCGAAAAUCUACUGUCAACGUUAGUUAUGUAAUUUGUCUGUUGCUUUAUUCAUUCCACUCAUUUGCAUUUAGUUUUUUUUUUAUUAUGGUGAACUACAUAUGACAUAACACUUACUAUUUUUACGUGUACAGUUUUGUGGCAUUAAGUACAUUCACAGUGUUAUGUAACCAUCAUCACCAUUGAUCUCCAGAACUUUUCCACCUUCCCAAACUGAAACUCUGUACCCAUUAAACACUAAUUCCCCAUCCCCUACUCCCCUGACAGCCGCCAUCCUACUUUCUGCCUCCAUGAAUUUGACCUCAUCUAAAUGGAAUCAUAUAGGAUUUGUCCUUUGGUGACUGGCUUAUUUCUCCAGCAUAAUGUCUUCAAGGUACAUCCAUGUCGCAGCGUGUGUCAGAAUAUCC
rnacentral:lncRNA from 10 species